rnacentral:tRNA from 3 species
GGUCGCGUAGCUCAGCUGGAUAGAGCAUCUGCCUUCUAAGCAGACGGUCAAAGGUUCGAAUCCUUUCGCGAUCAC